GAUGAGGUGGCUGAGUGUUUAAGGCAAUGGACUAUUAAUCCAUUGUGCUCUGCGCGCAUGGGUUCAAAUCCCAUCCUUGUCA